GUGGAAGCUGGCUUGCCUGCGAUGCAGACACUUCGGUCUUUCAGUCAAAAUCGAGGCGAUGCUAUCGCAGGCAAGCCAGCUCCCAC
rnacentral:antisense_RNA from 1 species